rnacentral:rRNA from 1 species
GACGUAGGGCGCGAGCGUUGUCCGGAUUUAUUGGGCGUAAAGAGCUCGUAGGCGGCUUGUCGCGUCGAAUGUGAAAUCUCGGGGCUCAACUCCGAGCUUGCAUUCGAUACGGGCAGGCUAGAGUUCGGUAGGGGAGACUGGAAUUCCUGGUGUAGCGGUGAAAUGCGCAGAUAUCAGGAGGAACACCGGUGGCGAAGGCGGGCCUCUGGGCCGAUACUGACGCUGAGGAGCGAAAGUGUGGGGAGCGAACAGG